AGGCAGAUACUGGGAAGAGCCAAGCUGGGAGCAGCUUGGGGACACGUGGAGGAGACACCACCACGCCAGUGCACACAGCCCAGACCUGCAUGUCCUGCACCAUCCUGGAUCUCCGAGGAGCCCGAGGAAACGGAGGACCCUGACGCUGCCUUCAUGCAACCUCCCAGCCAUGCUGCUGUGGGGGAUGCCUUCAUGGGGCCGUUGCCGUUGGCCUGCCUAAGGGAGACCUUUGUGCUUUUGCAGGAAGAUGGCGUGGCUCUCCCCAGCCCAGCCUGGCACCCCCCUAAGUCCCCACCAGGACAGGCAGAUGGGUGUCAGAGUCAGCCCAUGCCUGUGCCAGUGCUGGAGCUGGCAGUUGCCCGGCA